GACGAACGCUGGCGGCGUGCUUAACACAUGCAAGUCGAACGGUGAAGCGCCUUCCUUUUUGGUGGGUGUGGAUGAGUGGCGAACGGGUGAGUAACACGUGAGUAACCUGCCCCCUUCUUCUGGAUAACCGCAUGAAAGUGUGGCUAAUACGGGAUAUUCUGGGUCUGUCGCAUGAUGGGUCUGGGAAAGAUAUUGUUUCGGUGGGGGAUGGGCUCGCGGCCUAUCAGCUUGUUGGUGGGGUGAUGGCCUACCAAGGCGGUGACGGGUAGCCGGCCUGAGAGGGUCGACGGUCACACUGGGACUGAGACACGGCCCAGACUCCGACGGGAGGCAGCAGUGAGGAAUAUUGCACAAUGGGCGCAAGCCUGAUGCAGCGACGCCGCGUGAGGGAUGGAGGCCUUCGGGUUGUGAACCUCUUUCGCCAGUGAAGCAGGCCUGCCUCGUUUGUGGGUGGGUUGACGGUAGCUGGAUAAGAAGCGCCGGCUAACUACGUG
rnacentral:rRNA from 1 species